AGUGGAUGGGGAGCAACCUAGUUGUGCGUGUGUAAAGGUAGUGCCAAGAAAAGCGAUGAUCAUGUUGAAAAUCAAUUCCCGGUACCCGAAACCGACACAGGUGGGCAAGUAGAGAAUACUAAGGGGCGCGAGGUAACUCUCUCCAAGGAACUCGGCAAAAUGACCCCGUAACUUAGGGAGAAGGGGUGCCACCGAGAGGUGGUCGCAGUGAAGAGGCCCAGGCGACUGUUUAGCAAAAACAUAGGUCUCUGCAAACUCGAAAGAGGAGGUAUAGGGGCUGACGCCUGCCCAGUGCCGGAAGGUUAAAGAAGUUGGUCAGUUUUAGGAUGAAGCUAGCGACUGAAGCCCCGGUGAACGGCGGCCGUAACUAUAACGGUCCUAAGGUAGCGAAAUUCCUUGUCGGGUAAGUUCCGACCCGCACGAAAGGCGUAACGAUCUGGGCGCUGUCUCGGAGAGAGGCUCGGCGAAAUAGGAUUGUCUGUGAAGAUACGGACUACCUGCAUUUGGACAGAAAGACCCUAUGAAGCUUUACUAUAGCUUGGAAUUGUGUUCGGGCUUCCUGUGCGCAGGAUAGGUGGGAGGCGUAGAAGGUAUUCUUGUGGGGAUACUGGAGCCAACGGUGAGAUACCACUCUCAGGAGGCUAGAAUUCUAACUUAAUUAAGGACAGUUUCAGGUGGGUAGUUUGACUGGGGCGGUCGCCUCCAAAAAGGUAACGGAGGCGUACAAAGGUUCCCUCAGACUGGUUGGAAAUCAGUCGAAGAGUGCAAAGGCAGAAGGGAGCUUGACUGCGAGAAGUACAGUUCGAGCAGGGUGGAAACACGGUCUUAGUGAUCCGACGGUGCUGUGUGGAAGGGCCGUCGCUCAACGGAUAAAAGUUACUCUAGGAUAACAGGCUGAUCUCCCCCAAGAGUUCACAUCGACGGGGAGGUUUGGCACCUCGAUGUCGGCUCAUCGCAACCUGGGGCGGAAGUACGUCCCAAGGGUUGGGCUGUUCGCCCAUUAAAGCGGUACGUGAGCUGGGUUCAGAACGUCGUGAGACAGUUCGGUCCAUAUCCGAUGUAGGCGUGAGAAUAUUGAGAGGAGCCUUCCUUAGUACGAGAGGACCGGGAAGGACGCACCGCUGGUGUACCUGUUAUGAUGCCAAUUGUAAACGCAGGGUAGCCAAGUGCGGAGAGGAUAACCGCUGAGAGCAUCUAAGUGGGAAGCCCACCUCAAGAUGAGUAUUCUGGUGUAAGGUCACGGGAAGACGACCCGUAAAUAGGCACGAGGUGGAAGUGCAGAGAUGUAUGAAGCCGAAGUGUACUAAUAGACCGUCGGCUUGA
rnacentral:rRNA from 1 species